AACAUGAAAUAGAUAUGUUAAAUUAAUAUAUAAAUAUUUAACUUAAUACGUUCAUUAUUAUUUUAUUAAUUUAUCGUCACACGUCAUUUACCAGUUGCCUAAUUACGAAAAGUUUCAUAUGACAUUAACCUCAAAAAUGAUCUUUGAAAACAAACAACAAGAAACAGAGCAACAAAUGAACAAAUAACUACAUAAUGACUGAUAAUGAUAAGUGAUAAUAAUAACUUUAAUGAUAUGAAGGCUGAUGAAGUUUUAGACAACUAAUACAAGAUUUAGAACUUGACAUCGUGAUAAACAAAUUGUACAUUCAGGAACUCGUUUAAAUAUUAUAGGUUGAUUGACGAAUACUCUACAGUUGAUUAGAGCCCAUGAUGAU